rnacentral:sRNA from 1 species
CGCAGUCAAAAAUGGCGCUGAGCGAGAGGUUCGAGACCUAUGGCUCGAGCCGAGCGAAGCGAAGCGAGACAGCGUUGCGUAGCAACGACCCGAAGGGCGAGGCCAGAGGCCGAGUAAUCCCGUGGCGAAGGCAC